rnacentral:rRNA from 11 species
GCCUGGCCCUACGUACUCUAAAGGCACCAAAUCCUGUCUGAUCUUGAAAGCUAGGCAGGUUCAGCCCUGCUUAGUACUUGGGAUGGGAGACCAGCAACAAAUACCAGAUGUUGCAGGCU